rnacentral:tRNA from 1 species
GGGCCCGUGGGCUAGCUUGGUAUACUUGUAGCUUCGGGAGCUAUAGACUCCGGUUCAAAUCCGGGCGGGCCCACCA